UACGUAGGGGGCAAGCGUUGUCCGGAAUCAUUGGGCGUAAAGAGCGCGUAGGCGGUCCAGUAAGUCCGCUCUGAAAGUCCGGGGCUCAACCCCGGGAGGCGGGCGGAUACUGCUGGGCUAGAGUCCGGAAGAGGCGAGUGGAAUUCCUGGUGUAGCGGUGAAGUGCGCAGAUAUCAGGAGGAACACCAAUGGCGAAGGCAGCUCGCUGGGACGGUACUGACGCUGAGGCGCGAAAGCCGGGGGAGCAAACAGG
rnacentral:rRNA from 1 species